rnacentral:lncRNA from 1 species
GGCAGAGCAUUAACCUCUGCGUGCACAUACUUGGCCCACAUGAAGCCGGUAGUGGAUGGCAGCCCCCGGCAGAAGGAUGCGGGGCGCGGCCCGGGACCCGCGCAGCCGGUGGCCGUCCUGCCGUCCCCGGCAGAGGUCACCGAGUUCAGAGUACUCGGCCACGCACCUGCCCCCGCUCCCCGGCUGCCAGUGCUGUCCCGCAGCGGCCCCCGGGUGCCCGCAGCGAGGCGCGGGGCAGGGCCGGGAGCCGCAGCUCGCCGCCACCGUGCGGGCGGGCCCCCGAGCGCCACCCCAGGCCGCCGCAGCGCCGCCCGCAGCGCUGAACAAUGCGCGGCCGCCCCGCCACUCACCUCUCACGUGGCCGUGCAGGCUGCCCGCCGGGGCCCCGACUGCCCGGGGCAUUGUGGGAUCGCGACUCCGGGUUGCUCGCCACGGGAAUGGGAACUGACCGGGUCCGGUCACGGGAGCAUGGCGAGCGCCCGGACUCGUCGGGCUGCGGCGAGAGACUGUGGCAUGUCGCCGUGCAGCCUCUUAUCGCCGCGCGCCGGUUUCCGCCGCUGCGCGGCCCCUCCCCCGCGCCAGCCCCGCCAGGAAGGCGCGGACGCGCCGAGCUCCCACGCGCAGCCCGGCCCCGCCCGCCCGUCCGCCCGGGCCCGCGCCGCUGCUUACCGCCGCUCCAGCUCCGAGGGCUCCGCGCCCAACCCGGGAGGCCCGCAAGGUUAGACGAAAGCUCAGUGGAAAAAAGCCAACACAGGAAGAGAGAGAGAGAGCAAGAAAAAAAAAGAGAACGCCUUGGUCUAUUUACUGUCUCCUGGGACUACAGUUUGGUUUCAGUUCCUUUGACUCAACAUGAACAGCUUCUCCACCUGACAACUGCAUGAAAGCUUCAAGCACAGCCAUAACCAAGGCCUCCCCAAGUGCACCUUGGGACACAACUGCUUCUAUUUUGCAUGUUUGAUUUGUAUAUGCAUCUCAGAAUUGGUGAAAUAUUGGACUUAGUCAUCAUUUACCUAUAGAACAUGGAUUAUGUGCUAUGUAAUUUACUGGAAACUGAGGCAUAGCAUAAAUAACAGUCUAGUAAGAAGAACAUACAGGAAAGAACAGAAUUUUAAAAACAAUUUAAAACUGGCCUUGGUGGCCCAUUCUUUAAUCUUAACCCUCAUGAAGCUGAGACAUGUGGAUCUCUGUGAAUUUGAACCCAAUCUGGUCUACAUAGUGAGUUCCAGGUCUGCCAGGGCUGCAUAGGGAGAUUCUGUCUGAAAUGCAAAAUUACAACAAAAAAUAAAACUUUAUGUGCUAUAAAAGAAUAAUAAAAAGGGUGGGAAGGAGGG